rnacentral:rRNA from 1 species
UACGUAGGGUGCAAGCGUUAAUCGGAAUUACUGGGCGUAAAGCGUGCGCAGGCGGUGAUGUAAGACAGAUGUGAAAUCCCCGGGCUCAACCUGGGAACUGCAUUUGUGACUGCAUCGCUGAAGUGCGGCAGAGGGGGAUGGAAUUCCGCGUGUAGCAGUGAAAUGCGUAAAUAUGCGGAGGAACACCGAUGGCGAAGGCAAUCCCCUGGGCCUGCACUGACGCUCAUGCACGAAAGCGUGGGGAGCAAACAGG